GUUCCUCGGGGACAUCCAAUAAAAUUGGAACGAAUGUGAGAAGAUUAACAUGGGCCAUAUGUAAGGAUCACACGCACAAAUCGAGAAACUGUAACCUAUACU